GAAAUGCGAUACUUGGUGUGAAUUGCAGAAUCCCGUGAACCAUCGAGUCUUUGAACGCAAGUUGCGCCUGAAGCCUUUUGGUUGAGGGCACGUCUGCCUGGGCGUCACGCAUCGCGUCUCCCCCAACCCACCUUGCGUGGGAAGGUGGGAGGAAGAUGGCUUCCCAUGCCUCACCGGGCAUGGUUGGCCUAAAUAAGGAGCCUUAGGUUACAAAAUGCUGCGUUCUUCAUCGAUGCCAGCCUAUCGAGA
rnacentral:misc_RNA from 1 species